rnacentral:misc_RNA from 1 species
UUUUCUCGGCAGCAUAGGAUCACCAAAUCCCCCAAAAAAGGGGUCCCAUCACGUCUCAGGCCAACACCGGCGCAUUUAACAACCGGAUACCCUACACGCUUAGACCACGACAACCAUCGCGUGGCUUGGCUACCUUCCUGCGUCACACCUGUUAAUACGUUUACCUCAAAAAAUCGGGUCCUGCAGUCCACCACAAGCUCCCCAACACCAAUAAAGGCGAAGAGGUUACAAACGGCUUCUCACAGUUAGCAUCAAAAAAUCAGUAUGGACGGUUUUUUACCGGUACGGG